CGCCUUAUACUCCUACGGGAGGCAGCAGUGGGGAAUAUUGGACAAUGGGCGAAAGCCUGAUCCAGCCAUGCCGCGUGUGUGAAGAAGGUCUUCGGAUUGUAAAGCACUUUAAGUUGGGAGGAAGGGUUGUAGGCUAAUACCCUGCAAUUCUGACGUUACCAACAGAAUAAGCACCGGCUAACUUCGUGCCAGCAGCCGCGGUAAUACGAAGGGUGCAAGCGUUAAUCGGAAUUACUGGGCGUAAAGCGCGCGUAGGUGGUUCAGCAAGUUGGAUGUGAAAGCCCCGGGCUCAACCUGGGAACUGCAUCCAAAACUACUGAGCUAGAGUACGGUAGAGGGUGGUGGAAUUUCCUGUGUAGCGGUGAAAUGCGUAGAUAUAGGAAGGAACACCAGUGGCGAAGGCGACCACCUGGACUGAUACUGACACUGAGGUGCAAAAGCGUGGGGAGCAAACAGGAUUAGAAACCCGGGUAGUCCACGUACCA
rnacentral:rRNA from 1 species